rnacentral:lncRNA from 1 species
AAAAAAUGGCGGCAAAUUUCCCUCCCUUUUCUCCAAAUCCCUCUUUUAAUUGACUAUUAUUCUUACUUCUUCCUAAUUUUCCUCCUCGUAUCUCUUUAUGAGAUCUUCAACCCCCAAUCAAACUCUUGCCCAAAUAAAAUCUGUUAUCAUUUUUAGUAUCAAUAUAUCACUUCUCUCUCUUUUUCGAAUUUUUUGUAUGUAUGUGUCUAUUCUCCAAAACUUUUUCUUGAAUAGCAUAGAAGACCCAAUCUGGGAUGAUGGGCAUUUCAAGACAAGGUAUAUAAUUUACUAUACUUUCUUUCGAUAUGCAUUUAGGGCAUUGUAAAUUUGGGCAUCUCCAGAUGGCAUACGGCAUAUAUGUAUUAGUGUGUUUUUAUUUAUUUUAAUUUUAUUGUAAGGGUAUGAAGAAAUUUUGUCCAUUGUUCUGUAAUUUUUAUUCUUAUUAUCAGUACUUAUUUCUUGUUCUAUUAUUCUUAUUCUUAUUAAUUUAUAUUUUAUUUGAUUUAUAAUUAACAUUUAAAAUAUAUACUUUCUAAAUCAUGUGAUCAUUAAGUGUGUACUAAAAUAUUAACUUUUUUUUUUCCAUAUUCUCAGGUACAUGAAAAUGAAAAUUAUUAGAUACGCACUUGCAUUUGGAGAAGCAACAUACUGGAGAAGCGACAUACUUUAUUUUUUUACAAUCAAUACUCAUGUAUUUUUAUUAGAUUUGGCGUUAGAUAAAUUUUACUUUAUUUAUGUGUUUUAGUAGUAGGAGUUUAUAAGAGAUAUUAUUGUAAUAUGGUAUAGUUUUUAAUUUUAUGUUCAUGUGUACAAAUAUUUGUUGUUACAUUGUAUGUUUUAUUAUAUUAUUUUCAAUUAGUUUAUUCGAGAUUCACCUUUU